CACGUAGGGCGCGAGCGUUGUCCGGAAUUAUUGGGCGUAAAGAGCUCGUAGGCGGCCUGUUGCGUCCGCUGUGAAAGCCCGGGGCUUAACCCCGGGUCGGCAGUGGAUACGGGCAGGCUAGAGGUAGGUAGGGGCCCGCGGAACUUCUGGUGGAGCGGUGAAAUGCGUUGAUAUCAGAAGGAACGCCGGUGGCGAAAGCGGCGGGCUGGACCUUUUCUGACGCUGAGGCGCGAAAGCCAGGGGAGCAAACGGG
rnacentral:rRNA from 1 species